rnacentral:rRNA from 1 species
GACGAACGCUGGCGGCGUGCUUAACACAUGCAAGUCGAACGGUAAGGCCCUUCGGGGUACACGAGUGGCGAACGGGUGAGUAACACGUGGGUGAUCUGCCCUGCACUUCGGGAUAAGCCUGGGAAACUGGGUCUAAUACCGGAUAGGACCACUGCCUGCAUGGGUGGUGGUGGAAAGCUUUUGCGGUGUGGGAUGGGCCCGCGGCCUAGCAGCUUGUUGGUGGGGUGAUGGCCUACCAAGGGGACGACGGGUAGCCGGCCUGAGAGGGGGACCGGCCACACUGGGACUGAGAGACGGCCCAGACUCCUACGGGAGGCAGCAGGGGGGAAUAUUGCACAAUGGGCGCAAGCCUGAUGCAGCGACGCCGCGUGAGGGAUGACGGCCUUCGGGUUGUAAACCUCUUUCAGCAUCGACGAAGCGAAAGUGACGGUAGGUGCAGAAGAAGGACCGGCCAACUACGUGCCAGCAGCCGCGGUAA